GAUGAAGAACGUAGCGAAAUGCGAUAAGUAGUGUGAAUUGCAGAAUUCAGUGAAUCAUCGAAUCUUUGAACGCACAUUGCGCCCCAUGGUAUUCCAUGGGGCAUGCCUGUUCGAGCGUCAUUUACCCCCUCAAGCUCCGCUUGGUGUUGGGCGUCUGUCCCGCUUCGCGCGCGGACUCGCCCCAAAGGUAUUGGCAGCGGUCGUGCCAGCUUCUCGCGCAGCACAUUGCGCUUCUCGAGGCACCGGUGGGCCCGCGUCCAUCAAGCUCACCCCCCCAGUUUGACCUCGGAUCAGGUAGGGAUACCCGCUGAACUUAAGCAUAUCAAUAAGCGGAGGA
rnacentral:misc_RNA from 1 species